rnacentral:sRNA from 1 species
CAUAAGAGCGGAUAAUGGCAAUAACUUCUUUACUUUGUUGGGCAUUGGCUUGGCAGAAGAAUAAACUAUCAUCAGCAAACAAAAGGUGAGAGACUCGUGGGUUCACAUAUGAAAUUCGAAGACCUUGAACUUUGCCUUCCCUCUCGGCCUUUUUAGUCUAAGAUAUAAGUGCUUCCGUACAUACGAUAAACAAGUACGGAGAAAUGGGGUCUCCUUGACGGAUUCCACGCAAUGGCCGAAUACGACCUUUUGGCUCCCCAUUAAUCACGACACGGUAAGAAACUGAGGUAAUACAUUGCAUUAUCCAGUUUACCCAUCUAGGAUCGAAACCCAUCUUUUCCAUCAGAGCUCGAAGAAAGUUCCAUUCCACUCUGUCGUAAGCCUUACUCAUAUCCGUUUUUAGUGCCAUAAACUUUUUUCGGUUUACCGGGUUCAGCGUCGUGCAUGGAAGUUCCCCUGGGCGAUCAACGGUAAUUAAUCUUUCCGCGACAAACGCAGAUUGUGUCUCGGAUAUCAAAUCCAGAAGAAAUCUCUUAAGGCGCAGACUCAAGAUUUUCGAGAUUACUGAUAUAGGUCAAAUUGCCCUAAGAUCACUCUCUCAAAUAAGAGAUCGAUUGUAGUACUUAAGGGUCGAAUUCCACAAAGCUCUUAGAUCACACAAUAGACUAAGGUUUUGAAUUAAGCUAAA